rnacentral:rRNA from 1 species
GCCUAACACAUGCAAGUCGAACGGUAACAUUUCUAGCUUGCUAGAAGAUGACGAGUGGCGGACGGGUGAGUAAUGCUUGGGAACUUGCCUUUGCGAGGGGGAUAACAGUUGGAAACGACUGCUAAUACCGCAUAAUGUCUUCGGACCAAACGGGGCUUCGGCUCCGGCGCAAAGAGAGGCCCAAGUGAGAUUAGCUAGUUGGUAAGGUAACGGCUUACCAAGGCGACGAUCUCUAGCUGUUCUGAGAGGAAGAUCAGCCACACUGGGACUGAGACACGGCCCAGACUCCUACGGGAGGCAGCAGUGGGGAAUAUUGCACAAUGGGGGAAACCCUGAUGCAGCCAUGCCGCGUGUGUGAAGAAGGCCUUCGGGUUGUAAAGCACUUUCAGUUGUGAGGAAAAGUUAGUAGUUAAUACCUGCUAGCCGUGACGUUAACAACAGAAGAAGCACCGGCUAACUCCGUGCCAGCCGCCGCGGUAAUA